rnacentral:lncRNA from 1 species
GGAUUAAGUCACCUUUGAGGGAGAUUUGUGUUCGGAGACAAGUGGGAUUCACUUGAAAGGAAGAAGACACUUCAAAUCACUCUUUCCAAAACACAUUUUUCCCGCAAGAAACUGCAAGAAUAGUGUGCCUCUCUCUGACAACAGUGAUUGGAUAUGUCUUUUAUCCACUAGUUUUGAUUUUGACUUGUUUUGAUUGCUGACAGUCCUGCUAUGCAUCUUGCCUUUUCGACAAUCUGCACAGAUCCCAGCUUCAUUCAGAAGUCUGAAGGGCACAAUCCCAUACCUCUCUUGUACUGAGGAGCAUGAUUUUUAACCUG